CUACGGGCUGCUGCAGUGAGGAAUAUUGCACAAUGGGGGGAACCCUGAUGCAGCAACGCCGCGUGGAGGAUGACGCAUGUCGGAGUGUAAACUCCUUUUAUAUGCCAAGAAAAUGACGGUAGCAUAUGAAUAAGCACCGGCUAACUCCGUGCCAGCAGCCGCGGUAAUACGGAGGGGGCAAGCGUUACUCGGAAUCACUGGGCGUAAAGGACGCGUAGGCGGGUUGGAAAGUCAGGUGUGAAAUCCUACAGCUUAACUGUAGAACUGCACUUGAAACUUCUAAUCUAGAGUAUGGGAGGGGGAGAUGGAAUUAGUGGUGUAGGGGUAAAAUCCGUAGAUAUCACUAGGAAUACCUAAAGCGAAGGCGAUCUCCUGGAACAUUACUGACGCUAAGGCGUGAAAGCGUGGGGAGCAAACAGGAUUAGAUACCCGAGUAGUC
rnacentral:rRNA from 1 species